GGGGUUGUGGCUCAGUGGUAAAGUACUUGCCUAGCAGGUGCAAGGCACUGGGUUUGAUCCUCAGCACCACA
rnacentral:tRNA from 1 species